UACGAAGGGGGCUAGCGUUGCUCGGAAUCACUGGGCGUAAAGGGCGCGUAGGCGGCGUUUUAAGUCGGGGGUGAAAGCCUGUGGCUCAACCACAGAAUUGCCUUCGAUACUGGGACGCUUGAGUGUGGUAGAGGUUGGUGGAACUGCGAGUGUAGAGGUGAAAUUCGUAGAUAUUCGCAAGAACACCGGUGGCGAAGGCGGCCAACUGGACCAUCACUGACGCUGAGGCACGAAAGCCAGGGGAGCAAACGGG
rnacentral:rRNA from 1 species